rnacentral:rRNA from 1 species
GAACGCUGGCGGCGUGCUUAACACAUGCAAGUCGAACGAGAACGGAUUAUAGCUUGCUAUAAUUGUCAGCUAAGUGGCGCACGGGUGAGUAAUGUAUAGAUAACCUGCCCUCUAGAAGGAAUAACAGUUGGAAACGACUGCUAAUGCCCUAUAUGCCUUUAAUACAUAAGUAUGCAAGGGAAACGCUUUAGUGCUAGAGGAUGGGUCUGUAUGGUAUCAGUUAGUUGGUGAGGUAAUGGCUCACCAAGACUAUGACGCCUAACUGGUUUGAGAGGAUGAUCAGUCACACUGGAACUGAGACACGGUCCAGACUCCUACGGGAGGCAGCAGUGGGGAAUAUUGCACAAUGGACGAAAGUCUGAUGCAGCAACGCCGCGUGGAGGAUGACACAUUUCGGUGCGUAAACUCCUUUUAUAUAGGAAGAUAAUGACGGUACUAUAUGAAUAAGCACCGGCUAACUCCGUG